rnacentral:rRNA from 1 species
ACCUACGGGGGGGCAGCAGUGAGGAAUAUUGGUCAAUGGUCGGGAGACUGAACCAGCCAAGCCGCGUGAGGGAUGAAGGUACAGAGUAUCGUAGACCUCUUUUGUCAGGGAACAAAGGCGGGGACGUGUCCCCGGAUGAGUGUACCUGAAGAAAAAGCAUCGGCUAACUCCGUGCCAGCAGCCGCGGUAAUACGGAGGAUGCGAGCGUUAUCCGGAUUUAUUGGGUUUAAAGGGUGCGCAGGCGGUCUGUUAAGUCAGCGGUCAAAGCCCGGGGCUCAACCCCGGCCCGCCGUUGAAACUGGCAG